rnacentral:rRNA from 1 species
UACGGAGGGUGCAAGCGUUGCUCGGAUUCACUGGGCGUAAAGAGCACGUAGGCGGCUCGGUAAGUCUGAUGUGAAAGCCCUGGACUCAAUCCAGGAAGUGCAUUGGAUACUGCCGAGCUUGAAUGCAGGAGGGGUAAGCGGAAUUCCAGGUGUAGAGGUGAAAUUCGUAGAUAUCUGGAGGAACAACGGCGGCGAAGGCGGCUUACUGGACUGAUAUUGACGCUGAGGUGCGAAAGUGUGGGGAGCAAACGGG